rnacentral:rRNA from 1 species
ACCCGCUGAACUUAAGCAUAUCAAUAAGCGGAGGAAAAGAAACCAACAGGGAUUGCCUUAGUAACGGCGAGUGAAGCGGCAAAAGCUCAGAUUUGAAAUCUAGCGUCAUAUUGGCGUUCGAGUUGUAAUCUGUAGAGAAGUUAUCGAGUGUGGAUAUGGCUUAAGUUCUUUGGAACAGGACGUCAUAGAGGGUGAGAACCCCGUAUACGGCCUUUGUCUUAUGCUCAUGUGAGGCUUCUUCGACGAGUCGAGUUGUUUGGGAAUGCAGCUCUAAAUGGGUGGUAAAUUCCAUCUAAAGCUAAAUACUGGCAAGAGACCGAUAGCGCACAAGUAGAGUGAUCGAAAGAUGAAAAGAACUCUGAACAGAGAGUUAAAUAGUACGUGAAAUUGUUGAAAGGGAAGCACUUGCUACCAGACUCGCUUGCAGUUAAUCAACUAUCAUUCUUGGUAGUGCACUUUUCUGUAGGUGGGCCAGCAUCAGUUGUGUCGGUGGGAUAAAGGCAGUCGGAAUGUGGCUCUCUUCGGAGAGUGUUAUAGCCUUCUGUGUAAUACCAUCUAAUGCGACUGAGGUCAGCGCUUUUGCGAGGAUGCUGGCAUAAUGGUCGU